AACGCGAAGAACCUUACCUGGGCUUGAACCGCUACUGACCAACGGUAGAAAUAUAGUCUUCCCGCAAGGGACAGUAGUAGAGGUGCUGCAUGGCUGUCGUCAGCUCGUGCCGUGAGGUGUUGGGUUAAGUCCCGCAACGAGCGCAACCCUUACUCGUAGUUGCUACCCGCAAGGGAGAACUCUACGAGGACUGCUCCGGAUAACGGAGAGGAAGGUGGGGAUGACGUCAAGUCAGCACGGCCUUUAUGUCCAGGGCUACACACGUGUUACAAUGCGCGCCACAAAGCGUUGCAAACCCGCGAGGGGGAGCUAAUCGCCAAAAACCGUCCUCAGUUCGGAUUGCAGGCUGCAACUCGCCUGCAUGAAGCUGGAAUCGCUAGUAAUGCUAUAUCAGAACGAUAGCGUGAAUACGUUCCCGGGCCUUGUACACACCGACGCGUA
rnacentral:rRNA from 1 species